rnacentral:rRNA from 1 species
GGGGAAUAUUGGACAAUGGACGAAAGUCUGAUCCAGCGACGCCGCGUGGAGGAAGAAGUCCUUCGGGAUGUAAACUCAUGAAGCUAACGAAUAAGACGGAAGGGGAACCUUCCGGGAGAAGGUAAUUAGUGAAAAGCCCCGGCUAACUCUGUGCCAGCAGCCGCGGUAAUACAGAGGGUGCGAGCGUUAAUCGGAUUUACUGGGCGUAAAGCGUGCGUAGGUGGUGGUUUAAGUCCGUUGUGAAAGCCCUGGGCUCAACCUGGGAACUGCAGUGGAUACUGGAUCACUAGAGUGUGGCAGAGGGUAGUGGAAUUCCCGGUGUAGCAGUGAAAUGCGUAGAGAUCGGGAGGAACAUCAGUGGCGAAGGCGACUGCCUGGGCCAACACUGACACUGAGGCACGAAAGCGUGGGGAGCAAACA